GUACCGUGAGGGAAAGGUGAAAAGAACCCCAGUCGGGGAGUGAAAUAGACUAUGAAACCAUAAGCUUACAAUAUGUAGGAGGCUUUUUAAAGGCUGACUGCGUGCUUGUUGAAGAAAGAGCUGGCGACUUAGAAGGCGAGGCGUGGUUAAGAGAUAGAUGUCUCGAAGCCAAAGCGAAAGCAUGUCUGAAAAGGGCUUUUGUCUUUCCUUCUAGACCCGAACCUAAGUGACCUAUCUUUGGACAGGAUGCAACCCAGGUAAAACUCGGUGAAGGUCCGAACCGUGUGAUGUUGAAAAAUCAUCGGAUGAGCUGUGGUUAGGGGUGAAAUGCCAA
rnacentral:rRNA from 1 species